rnacentral:rRNA from 1 species
GUGGGGAAUAUUGGGCAAUGGGGGAAACCCUGACCCAGCAACGCCGCGUGAAGGAAGAAGGCCUUCGGGUUGUAAACUUUUGUCCUAUGGGACGAAGAAGUGACGGUACCAUAGGAGGAAGCUCCGGCUAACUACGUGCCAGCAGCCGCGGUAAUACGUAGGGAGCGAGCGUUGUCCGGAAUUACUGGGCGUAAAGGGUGCGUAGGCGGUUAUGCAAGUCAGAUGUGAAAGACUGGGGCUCAACUCCAGGAUUGCAUUUGAAACUGUGUGACUUGAGUACAGGAGAGGUAAGUGGAAUUCCUAGUGUAGCGGUGAAAUGCGUAGAUAUUAGGAGGAACACCAGUGGCGAAGGCGACUUACUGGACUGUAACUGACGCUGAAGCACGAAAGCGUGGGGAGCAAACAGGAUUAGAAACCCGAGUAGUCC